rnacentral:rRNA from 1 species
GACGAACGCUGGCGGCGUGCUUAACACAUGCAAGUCGAACGGUGAAGCGCCUUCCUUUUUGGUGGGUGUGGAUGAGUGGCGAACGGGUGAGUAACACGUGAGUAACCUGCCCCCUUCUUCUGGAUAACCGCAUGAAAGUGUGGCUAAUACGGGAUAUUCUGGGUCUGUCGCAUGAUGGGUCUGGGAAAGAUAUUGUUUCGGUGGGGGAUGGGCUCGCGGCCUAUCAGCCUGUUGGUGGGGUGAUGGCCUACCAAGGCGGUGACGGGUAGCCGGCCUGAGAGGGUGGACGGUCACACUGGGACUGAGACACGGCCCAGACUCCUACGGGAGGCAGCAGUGGGGAAUAUUGCACAAUGGGCGCAAGCCUGAUGCAGCGACGCCGCGUGAGGGAUGGAGGCCUUCGGGUUGUGAACCUCUUUCGCCAGUGAAGCAGGCCUGCCUCGUUUGUGGGUGGGUUGACGGUAGCUGGAUAAGAAGCGCCGGCUAACUACGU